rnacentral:rRNA from 1 species
UCCGAUAGCGAACAAGUACCGUGAGGGAAAGUUGAAAAGUACUUUGAAGAGAGAGUAAACAGUACGUGAAACCGCUCAGAGGUAAACGGGUGGAGUUGAACUGCAAGCUCUGAGGAUUAAGCUGGUGAGUAUGGCAUGAGCUGGGUCAUGUUGGUUGUGAGUCUGGGUCUGCUUAGCUGCAGGUUCUCGCCUUCUGGUGGGAAUGCGCGUUGCACUUGUCAAGUGUUGUGCGCUCAGUCUCCUUCGAACCUGCUCGCCAGUGCACUUUCUCAGAGUGUUCACCACGACCGACGUCGCCGCCUGGCUGUUGCAGUUAAACCGGCCAUGUAGGAUCUUUGUGAUCUUGCGCGGUUCGGGAUGGCAGGUAACCUGUUGUGUACUUUUGUGCCUUCAGGUGUAAUAGCUGACUGCAUCGGUCCUGUGCGGUACGUCGGAGACGGCGGCUUGUUGUGUGUGCAGGCGUGCUGUUGUGCUGACAGCUUCGAGUCUGGUUGCCUUGUUGCUUGUGAACGCAGGCCGGGUGAUGGCUUGUUGCUGUUCAGUGCACGGUUGCGUUUGUGACACUAUGACAGGGCCAACAGUCUGUGGUGUAGUGGUAGACUAUCCACCUGACCCGUCUUGAAACACGGACCAAGGAGAGUAACAUGUGCGCGAGUCAUUGGGCGUUACGAAACCCAAAGGCGCAGUGAAAGUAAAGGUUCGGCUUGUCCGAGCUGAGGUGAGAUCCUGUCGUUUCUCACGCGCGGUACUACCAAGCAUCGAGCGGCAGGCGCAUCACCGGCCCGUCCCAUGGCGUGGCAGCCUCGUGCCAGCCUAUCGCCGGGGCGGAGCAUGAGCGUACAUGUUGAGACCCGAAAGAUGGUGAACUAUGCUUGCGCAGGUUGAAGCCAGAGGAAACUCUGGUGGAGGACCGCAGCGAUUCUGACGUGCAAAUCGAUCGUCAAACGUGAGUAUAGGGGCGAAAGACUAAUCGAACC